GACCGUGUAGCUCAGUUGGUAGAGCGUCGAUCUAGUAAUUCGAAGGUCGCGGGGUUCAAGACCCAGACAACAUCU
rnacentral:tRNA from 1 species